CAUCGAAUCUUUGAACGCACCUUGCGCCCCUGUGGUAUUCCGAGGGGCACACCCGUUUGAGUGUCGUGAAAACCUCAACCUCCUUGGUUUCUUUCUGGAGACUGAAGGAAGCUUGGACUUUGGAGGCCUUGUGCUGGUGUCUCUCACCAACUCCUCUUAAAUGAAUUAGCGGGGUCCUCUUUGCCGAUCCUCGACACGUGAUAAGAUGCUUCCGUGUCUCGGUUUCUGGCUCUGUUGCUUUUGGGACCCGCUUCUAACCGUCUGGACCUUGUGUCGAGACAAUGUUCGAGAUUGUCUCCCUUCUCGGGAAACCACCUCGACCCCACGA
rnacentral:rRNA from 1 species